rnacentral:lncRNA from 1 species
AUGUGGUGUCCUUGUUGGCAGGCAGUGAUUGGUGAAAUUUUUUAUCUGUCAUCUUUCUCUGCCUCUACCUAUGCAAAAAUUCUUAAUAAAAGAAUAUUUAAUGCAACGAACCUAAGUACAUCAAAGCUAUAUAAAUCUAGAAUUCAUAAUGCUACUCAAAUAAAUCUUAUGCACCAUCUAGUACACCAACUCUUUAUUCUGAAAAGUGGUAAAUAAUGAGAAAAGAAAAAGAAACAUUGUUUUUUUCUGUUUUAUUGUUGGGUAGUCAAUAAGAAGAGAGAAUCUUCUGUAUAAAUAAAAAUCACAGGUAAUAUACAUAGGAUGAAUGAUAUAAUUUUUAGAUUUUGAUUUUGCAAUCUCUAAUGAAAGAACGGAUUUAGGCAAUGAUCAAUAGUGAGCGCUAAAAGUGUUUGGUGAAAGGUUGAUGGGGAAGUUUAUGAAAGAGGAAUAAGUCUGAUACAUUUGAUUUCUAUUGCUGUCGUCGGAAAUUACCAAAAGUGAGUGACUUAACACAAAUUUAUUACCUUAAAGUUUUGUAGGUUAGAAGUCCAAGCACAAGAUGUGGCUUGUGUGGUUUUCUUGCCAGGGUUUCACUAUGCAGAAAUAAAAUCAGUAGGACUGUGUUUCCAGAGUCUCUCGCGAUAAAUCUAUUUUCAACUUCAUCCAUGUUAUCAGCGUAAUUCAUUUCCAUGGGAUGGUGAGACUGAGAUCUCAUUGACUUGUUUGUUUUUGGCUAGAGGGAAUUCUCAGCCACUAAAGGCAUUGUCCCCUUCCUCCAUCUUUACAGUCAGCGAAGGAAGUCUAGUCAUUCUCAUGCUGUGACUAUCCCUGACCUCUCCUUUCUAUCUCAUCACUUCUGCUUUCUCUUCCCUCUGACUCCAGCCUGAGAAAUUUAUCUGCUUUUAAAGGGUCAAGUGAUUAGAUUGGGUCCACCCAGAUCAUCGAAGAUAAUCUCCCUAUCGUAACUGCGUCCACAAAGACCCUUCAUAACACUACCUAGAUUAUUGUUUAAGUAACCGGGUGUUGGGAAUCUUGAGUGGACAUCUUUGUAAUUCUGCCUCAAAGAGCUGACAAUACUUAGACCCACUGUUUAAUCCCAAUUGUAAUUUUGAUGAAAAACAAGUGAUGAUGGGGUGACAUAUUAAAGGAGAUCGGCAAAGUGUUAACUGCUGGAGGCAGGUGAUGGGUACAUGGGGUUUUAUGAUGUUAUUACAAAAUUCUAUCUUUUUGUGUAUAUGCUUCCAUAAUAAAAAGGACAAAUAAAUACCCAACCACCUCAGGGUUUCCAAGAUUAAUGCCUCAACUGCAUUCAAGAAUGCAUCCAUAGUUGGUUUUGCAUGCAGCCUUCUAUCUUCUUCUCUCUUCUCCAGAACCAUAAAAUUACUAUUUUUCUUGACAGAGUCUUAGUUGGUGAUUGCAAUUAGUGAAACCAGUCCUGCCUUGAGAGUAAGGAGACAGGAACCCGUCUAAUAACUAAACAGCCAUUGCUGGCUAUCUUCACCCUUUGUAACUGAAUUUAUAAAUGGAAAUGCCCAGUCAUAUCAUGAAGCCUCCAUUACUAGUGUACUGGUUACAACAUGCUAAAGAAUCUGGCCACCUCUCUAUUAAUGAAUUUGCUGCAGCAGGGGAAAAGCAUAUGCUCUAUGCUGUGCUGCUUCCUGACCUGUUGCAAUUUUUUUCCUAAAGGAUCUUAUUACCAUUUCUAUAAAGAUUUUGUCUCCUCCACACCUCAAAGUUUGCCUCUUAAGUCAGUUUUAAAGAAACGUCUAGAUAGAUGAUAAGUUUAAAAAUAUACAAAAUAAAAUUAAGUAAUAUUAAAAUUUAUCUAAGUUUCUGCAUUUUUGGAAUUAUAAGGCUUCCUCAGUUCCUGCUGCAAGAUAAACUUUCUCAGGUUGAUGAAUAAGGACAAAAUCAAUUUCCACUGCAUAUGUCAGGUUGCAGUCUUUUCGUAACGUCAAUUAUACCCAGUUACAAUUAUUAAAAUAAAAUAUUUGAGUUUUUUUGGAAAGCUGAAUAAUUCAGUCUUAUCUAUGAUCACCUUGCUUCCUGAGGAUACACAUGGAUCUUACUUAACCAUCAUCAAAACAUAAGGAAAUUCUAGCAACUAUACCUUGCACCUCUCUCAGAGCCUGCAUAUUGCUCACAUGCUUCUUUCUGAGUGUCUUUCCUACCCUUUUCUUAUAAAAUGACCUAUUGCUUCUAAAUGUUCUAGAAGAAAUCGGUCAUGAGGAUCUUGCAAAUUAGAAUGACCUAUAUUGGUAAAUUCAUGGCCUAGCUAGCUGGUUCUUUACAUCAAGCAACCUCAGGGGUUACCAGCUAGUCUAAAAAUAAUCUUCAGUUUAGUUACUUUUCUGAUCAUAGUUCAAUAAACUGUCAAGCUUGAGCAAAGUGUGGUCUAAAAUGUUCAUGAAUAAAGACUGUGUUUGGGUAAUUACAUCUUUCAGAGUUUGAACCUGUGAUGUACCCUGAAUGACAUGCCCAGUAUACAGUGAAGCAAGUGAUUUAAGCUGAGUGACAAAUAUAGUAGUCAGAAUGAAAGACGAAAGAAAAAAAAUAAAUUAGAAAUGUCUGGAGUCUAUAAUCAGCAGAAAAACAUUUUGAAAUGAAUUGCUUAGAAAGUGGAGGACGAAUAGUGAAGGAAGAAAUUAGAGUUCUAGUAAAGCUUUAGUUUAUUUAUUAAUUUUUGUUUGUCUCUACCACUCAAACAAAAGCAGAACUGUGUAUAUUUGAAGACAUGACUUGAAGGAUAUAGGGAAAAAAGGUUAAUACUUUUGGAAAAAGAGGGAAUGUUUGAUCCACUUAAGAGUUACGAUCAAAGGUACAAUGUUAGCCUAUUUCAGGUGGAAAUGGCAAUAAACAAUUUGAAGCUUUGUGAAAAUAUGCAAGUCUGAUCUAACCAGAAGUAUUGUAUUAUUACAAACUUUUGAAGAAAUACAACAUAUAAACAGAGCUCUUCUGGAGGAAUAGAGUUGGCAUUGAUGUCAUAGUAUCUAUGUUUAGUCAACAGGGUAGGAAAAGACAGAUUAUUUUUAGUUUAAAUAGUACCUUAUUGGUUUGGUUCUUAUUCUAUUGCUUGAAAAGAUAAUAUGUGCUGACUUUAAAAAGAGCACUAGAUUUUACAUAAAAGUAGCUACUAAUCAUGAAAGUAAAAGGUAUUUAAAAUUUAUUUUUUUGGAAUGUAUGUAGCCUGCUAUGGCCUUAUAUCAUUAAAUUGUGUCUCUACAAUUAAAAAUAUGAUCUAAGGCUGUAAUUUGUUUCCUCUAUGAACUGAUCCAGGGAGCCUGGUUUUCAAGAGGUCAAGAAAGUACAAGUCGUCAGAUUAGGUCUGUGCAGAUGGGGGCACAGAAGGGACCAGACAGGUGAAAGGAUGCUGGUGACAGUCUUUUGUAAGUCUCAUCACUUUGACUUGUGAAGAAGAAAAGGAAACCAUCUGUGCUGUCAUUCUUGUUAACCUUCUGCUUUGAAUAGGAAAGAUAAACCAAACAUUCAGAAUAGGUAAAUGAAUACAAAACGAUAUUUGCAUCAGGGUUAUUGAAAAUCAAACUAAGGAUGAAUAACCUUGCCUCUGUCUGUCACACACAUUUUCCAUGGUUUUGCAGAUACUUAUGUUUGUGGUUGAGAAGCUAUUUGGUUUAGGAGAAAAUCUUAAACAUUAAUUCUGAUUUAUAUUUGAAGCCAGUCU